rnacentral:rRNA from 1 species
GAUGAACGCUAGCGGCAGGCUUAACACAUGCAAGUCGAGGGGUAUAGGUUUUCGGACCUAGAGACCGGCGCACGGGUGCGUAACGCGUAUGCAAUCUACCUUUUACAGAGGGAUAGCCCAGAGAAAUUUGGAUUAAUACCUCAUAGUAUUAUGACUCGGCAUCGAGAUAUAAUUAAAGUCACAACGGUAAAAGAUGAGCAUGCGUCCCAUUAGCUUGUUGGUAAGGUAACGGCUUACCAAGGCAACGAUGGGUAGGGGUCCUGAGAGGGAGAUCCCCCACACUGGUACUGAGACACGGACCAGACUCCUACGGGAGGCAG